UACGGAGGGGGCUAGCGUUGUUCGGAAUUACUGGGCGUAAAGCGCACGUAGGCGGCUUUGUAAGUUAGAAGUGAAAGCCCAGGGCUCAACCCUGGAAUUGCCUUUAAGACUGCAUCGCUAGAAUUGUGGAGAGGUAAGUGGAAUUCCGAGUGUAGAGGUGAAAUUCGUAGAUAUUCGGAAGAACACCAGUGGCGAAGGCGACUUACUGGACACAUAUUGACGCUGAGGUGCGAAAGCGUGGGGAGCAAACAGG
rnacentral:rRNA from 1 species